GAUGAACGCUAGCGGCAGGCUUAAUACAUGCAAGUCGAGAGGCAGCAUGACUGUAGCAAUACAGUUGAUGGCGACCGGCAAACGGGUGCGGAACACGUACAGAACCUUCCUUCGAGCGGGGAAUAGCCCAGAGAAAUUUGGAUUAAUACCCCAUAGUACAACGGAGUGGCAUCACUUUGUUGUUAAAGAUUUAUCACUUGAAGAUGGCUGUGCGGCUGAUUAGGUAGUUGGCGGGGUAACGGCCCACCAAGCCUGCGAUCAGUAACUGGUGUGAGGGAACGACCAGUCACACGGGCACUGAGACACGGGCCCGACUCCUACGGGAGGCAGCAGUAAGGAAUAUUGGUCAAUGGACGAAAGUCUGAACCAGCUAUGCCGCGUGGAGGAUGAAGGUCCUCUGGAUUGUAAACUUCUUUUAUAUGGGACGAAAAAAGGGUUUUCUAACUCGUCUGACGGUACCAUAUGAAUAAGCACCGGCUAACUCCGUGCCAGCCGCCGCGGUAAUAC
rnacentral:rRNA from 1 species